rnacentral:lncRNA from 1 species
GCAAAAAUGUUGCCCCAUGCACCUGUCAGCACGACCACCAUGGACGAUCUCCCAUCCCCUGACAGCAACAGCAUGGACCAAAUAAGUGACAAAGGAAAUAUGACACGAUCGUUGCCAUGUGAUCUACAUGCUGCACUUGUUUGCAUUGGCCAAACCUGCAGACUUCAACUUCAACACACUUUUUGUAAAUUAGCAAUGCACAUUCUUUUGCAACUUGUCUUCUUCAUUGAGGUGCUGAUUUACGCUACGCAUUCUGAUGCAAGUUUUCAUCUUAUGGUAUUCCGAGAUAUUUGCAGUCCACUUGUGAUCUGUGUGCAUAGAGUUGUGGUUAUUCUUCAAUGGCUGUUUGUUGUCCCUUGCCUUACUUGUAUUUUUUCACAAAAUAAACCACAUGCACUCAA